UACAGAGGUCCCGAGCGUUGUUCGGAUUCAUUGGGCGUAAAGGGUGCGUAGGCGGCGGGGCAAGUCUGAUGUGAAAUCCCGGGGCUCAACCCCGGAACUGCAUUGGAUACUGCCUUGCUCGAGUACUGGAGAGGGAACUGGAAUUUACGGUGUAGCAGUGAAAUGCGUAGAGAUUGUAAGGAAGGCCAGUGGCGAAGGCGAGUUCCUGGACAGUUACUGACGCUGAGGCACGAAGGCCAGGGGAGCAAACGGG
rnacentral:rRNA from 1 species